GGUGAACGCUGGCGGCGUGCAUAACACAUUCAAGUCGAACGGACUGAUUCGAUAGCUUGCUAUUGAAGAAAGUUAGUGGCGGACGGGUGAGUAACGCGUGAGCAACCUGCCUUUCUGAGGGGGAUAACACAGGGAAACUUGUGCUAAUACCGCAUGAAGCAUACGAACAGCAUUGCAAGUAUGUCAAAGGAGCAAUCCGCAGAAAGAUGGGCUCGCGUCUGAUUAGAUAGUUGGUGGGGUAACGGCUCACCAAGUCGACGAUCAGUAGCCGGACUGAGAGGUUGAACGGCCACAUUGGGAACUGAGAUACGGGUCCAGACUCCUACGGGAGGCAGCAGUGGGGAAUAUUGGGCAAUGGGCGCAAGCCUGACCCAGCGACGCCGCGUGAGGGAAGAAGGGUCUUCGGGAUUGUAAACCUUUGUAGACAGGGAAGAAGCAAAGUGAACGGUACCUGUAAAAGUAAGCCAACGGGCUAAACUACGUGCCAGCAGCCGCCGUAAAG
rnacentral:rRNA from 1 species